CCAAGGAGUCUAACAUGUGCGCGAGUCGUCGGGUCUUGAAUAGGCCCGCAGGCGAAAUGAAAGUGAAGGGCGACCCAGUCGUCGCCUGCGUUGGGAUCCCCGGGCCGCCGCGUCCGGGGCGCACCAACGGCCCGUCCCGUCCGCGUCGUCGGUGGGACGGAGCGAGAGCGUACACGUUGGGACCCGAAAGAUGGUGAACUAUGCCUGGGCAGGACGAGGCCAGAGGAAACUCUGGUGGAGGUCCGCAGCGAUUCUGACGUGCAAAUCGAUCGUCAGACCUGGGUAUAGGGGCGAAAGACUAAUCGAACCGUCUAGUAGCUGGUUCCCUCCGAAGUUUCCCUCAGGAUAGCUGGCGCUCGAGGGAGUCAGUCUCAUCCGGUAAAGCGAAUGAUUAGAGGCCUUGGGGCCGAAACGACCUCAACCUAUUCUCAAACUUUCAAUGGGUGAGAAGUCCGGUUUACAUGACUGAAGCCCGGACAAUUCUCAGGAUGCGAGUGCCCAGUGGGCCACUUUU
rnacentral:rRNA from 1 species